UACCACCGCCGACGAUUAUAUAAUCGUAACCUCCCUCUCUCUCAUGGCCAUCGCGAUAGAAAGAGCUAGCGCGCUUGAUGAACGGGUAUGAGAGAACCAACCUUGACAAGAAGAGCGAAGAACAACAAGGAAGAGAAAGAGGUUCACAGCCCCAACCAACGCCAUUGAAUUGCAGAAAAGGAAAAUGGAAGCUGCUUCUUCGAAAUCAGAGUAGUGGAUGAUCUCUUAGAUUGUGUGUGGAUCGCAGAUUUAAAGACGAAGAACAGAUCCCAAGAAAACACAUGAAUCUGGUAAAGAGA